rnacentral:rRNA from 2 species
AAACCAAAGUAGGGGAUUAACCUUACGUUUUUGGAUGAACCCAGACAAGAUUAGCUUGAUGGUAAGGUAAAGGCUUACCAUGGCGACGAUCUUUAGCUGGUCUGAGAGGACAAACAGCCACACUGGAACUGAGACACGGUCCAGACUCCUACGGGAGGCAGCAGUGGGGAAUAUUGCACAAUGGGCGAAAGCCUGAUGCAGCUAUGCCGCGUGUAUGAAGAAGGCCUUAGGGUUGUAAAGUACUUUCAGCAGGAAAGAAAGGGAGAUAAUAAUUUUCUUCUGUGACGUUACCUGAAAAAGAAGCACCGGCUAACUCCGUGCCAGCAGCCGCGGUAAUACGGAGGGUGCUAGCGUUAAUCAGAAUUACUGGGCGUAAAGAGCGCGUAGGUGGUUUAAUAAGUCAGAUGUGAAAUACCUAAGCUUAACUUAGGAAUGGCAUUUGAAACUAAUAAACUAGAGUAUUGUAGAGGGAGGUAGAAUUCUAGGUGUAGCGGUGAAAUGCGUAGAUAUCUGGAGGAAUACCUGUGGCGAAAGCGACCUCCUAAACAAAUACUGACACUGAGGUGCGAAAGCAUGGGGAGCAAACAGGAUUAGAUACCCUGGUAGUCCAUGCCGUAAACGAUGUCGACUUGGAGGUUGUUUCCAAGAGAAGUGGCUUCCGAAGCUAACGCAUUAAGUCGACCGCCUGGGGAGUACGACCGCAAGGUUAAAACUCAAAUGAAUUGACGGGGGCCCGCACAAGCGGUGGAGCAUGUGGUUUAAUUCGAUGCAACGCGAAAAACCUUACCUGGUCUUGACAUCCAUAAAAUACUUUAGAAAUAGAGUAGUGCCUUCGGGAAUUAUGAGACAGGUGCUGCAUGGCUGUCGUCAGCUCGUGUUGUGAAAUGUUGGGUUAAGUCCCGCAACGAGCGCAACCCCUAUCCUCUGUUGCCAACGGUUCGGCCGGGAACUCAGGGGAGACCGCCGGUUAUAAACCGGAGGAAGGUGGGGACGACGUCAAGUCAUCAUGGCCCUUACGACCAGGGCUACACACGUGCUACAAUGGUGCAUACA